CGUUCAGUAUCUCGGCGAAAAACCCUAUACCUCGCGCCGUCAUAGGCGCGUCUCUUCCGUCCCGCCGGCGCUGGCUCGCCGCCUCCUCGACGCGCGGGUCCACCUGCGCUUGCUCCCCGUAACCCGUUGUUCCUCGCUGGGAGCAGCCCACCACCGGGCCAGGGGCGCGCCGGUGCCGCCUCCAAUCCUCCGUUCGGCGCACCCCACUCCGGCGACUCCCUCCUCGAUUGGCUCCGGUGGUCGGUGGUUCUUCUAGGCGGGUAGGAUGUUCUCGCUGAGCCUGAUUGAGCAUGACCUGCCGAUGCCGCCGCACCUGCUGAGCCGCCCCCUCCUCGACGCCAUCAAGGCCGAGCUCGAGAGGCUCUUCCUGGACAAGGUUAUCGCGAACCUUGGGCUGUGCGUGUCUGUCUAUGAUAUCCGAUCCGUUGAAGGCGGGUCCAUCCAUGCGGGAGAGGGCUGCUCGAUCUAUAGAGUUUCAUUUCGUUUGCUGAUGUUCAAGCCCUUUAAUGGGGAGGUUCUUGUUGGGAGAAUUAGUGGAUAUGAUGAUAAGGGGUUGCAGGUUUCACUUGAUUUCUUCAAUGACAUAUGCAUCCCUGGACAUUUGAUGCAGUUUGGCACAGUGAGCAGGAGCAGUGGCAGCACCGACUCCCAUGGCAGGCAAUGCAAGCGAGCGAGCGAGCGGCCGGCGCGCACCAAAGCUGGCAGCAGCCAUGGGCCGGCCAAUGUAUUCUUCUCCUACGCCGGCCUGGGAGAAGUGCAGCAGCAACAACGACCAGAAGCGAUCCUGCAGGAGGUUCCGCGAGUCGGUCGGAACCCCGCACUGAUGGCAGCCGGCGCGUCGGCAUUCGUCCGCGGCCCUUGCGCUCCUUGUUGCGCUGCUUCUUGCCGGCUGGGCGUCGGCGGCGAACGAGACGCAGGGGUUCUGUCCCGGCGACAAGAUCCGGCGGUACAGGAGGGUGCAAGCGCUGCUCAGGCGGCUCAACAAGCCAGCGCUCCGGACCAUCCAGGGGACCAGAUGGUAGGUGGAUGCUGAAGACCGAAGAUGAAGAUGAGCUAUAUCUAGAUCUAGACGAUGAGAUAAGGUUCUUGGUAUCUAGCACAAAGUACCUGCCUAUCCCAAUUAAGCAAAAGGAGGAUGAUCCACCAUUUUCUCCAAUGCAGAUCGUUUAAUGCCUUUCUAGGGAAGUAUUAAAGGAGAUGGUCUUGGUCUUCUUGCUUGGUGGUCAGCUGACGAAGAGGAGGCAGCGGCAGAGCAAUAGUAUAGUGUUGGUUCAGGGAUCUCUUUGUGUAGUUUACAAUCUCAUCCUACUAGCAUGUUACGUAACCGUAUCUAGUUGCACUGUUGCAGUAACAUGAUACUUAGGGACCUUACCCGGUUUUACAUGUUAUGUAUUCUUUUUGAGUUAGGUGCAUCGAAUCUCUUCUGGCACUCCCAGUUGUUACUGCUGCUGCGACCUACUGCCAUCGAUUUCUUAAAAAAGCCACCAAAGAAAAAGACACUUCAGCAGGCCAGCACCACAAAAGUUCACAUUUAACCAGUGUGCUUGGUAUUAUGUCCAGCAAGCAGCUGGGAAGAAGAUCUGGGAGUGGUGAAAGCAACAUUUGAUGUAUAGAAUUCCUGUGAUGUAUCAAGUGCAGCAACAUUUGUAUGUGGAUUCUACCGUAGGUUGCUAUGGCAUGCUUGAAACAUUUUUUGUUGUAUA